rnacentral:sRNA from 1 species
AGCGUGGGGUGACAAGUGCCGUGAACAUCAUGCACAGCAGCCUCCAGCAAGGCAAAUUUGACACAAAAGGCAUCGAGAGUACUGACGAGGCGAAGAUGUCCUUCCUGGUGACUCUGAACAACGUGGAAGUCUGCAGUGAAAACAUCUCCACUCUGAAGAAGACACUGGAGAGUGACUGCACCAAGCUCUUCAGCCAGGGCAUUGGAGGGGAGCAGGCCCAGGCCAAGUUUGACAGCUGCCUUUCUGACUUGGCCGCCGUGUCCAACAAAUUCCGAGAUCUCUUGCAGGAAGGGCUGACGGAGCUCAACAGCACAGCCAUCAAGCCACAAGUGCAGCCUUGGAUCAACAGCUUUUUCUCCGUCUCCCACAACAUCGAGGAGGUUAGCCUGGCCACAGGCAGCCAUCAAGCCCCGAUGACCCCUCGCCCCUAGCCCCAGCUAGAGGGAGCGGAGCCAUCUGAACAGACGAGACCUUCCAUGCUUCCCAGGCUCACUUCCCCCACCCUCACCCUUGAAGACUAGGUUCCUCCCAGGAAACAGUUUGUCCCUAGUCAGAAGGGCUCAGAAAGACAUGGAGUUUGCCUUGACCUGACUUAUUCCCUUAUUGGAGCUCUUUUUGCCCCACCUAUGAUAGACUUAGAAGCGUUUUUUUCCUCCUGGCCUAGUGAUUUCAUUCCUGUAGAACAUGAUAUCCAAGAAGGAAUAAAAUGCCGGAACUUUACCAUAUUA